GAUGAAGAACGUAGCGAAAUGCGAUACGUAGUGUGAAUUGCAGAAUUCAGUGAAUCAUCGAAUCUUUGAACGCACAUUGCGCCCUUUGGUAUUCCAAAGGGCAUGCCUGUUCGAGCGUCAUUUGUACCCUCAAGCUUUGCUUGGUGUUGGGCGUCUUGUCUCCAGUCCGCUGGAGACUCGCCUUAAAGUCAUUGGCAGCCGGCCUACUGGUUUCGGAGCGCAGCACAAGUCGCACUCUUUUCCAGCCAAGGUCAGUGUCCAACAAGCCUUUUUUCAACCUUUGACCUCGGAUCAGGUAGGGAUACCCGCUGAACUUAAGCAUAUCAAUAAGCGGAGGA
rnacentral:misc_RNA from 1 species